rnacentral:misc_RNA from 1 species
UUCUAGCCCCGAUUGAACGGUUUGUUUGAGCUCUUUUUUGCGAAUAACCACCUUUUCCUUUUGCUAAAUUUUUGUUCGCAAAAAAAGCGAGUAGUGAAAGCGGGACGGGUU